rnacentral:rRNA from 1 species
AACGAACGCUGGCGGCAGGCCUAACACAUGCAAGUCGAACGGCAGCGGGGAGUAGCUUGCUACUCUGCCGGCGAGUGGCGGACGGGUGAGUAAUGCCUGGGGAGCUGCCCAAUCGAGGGGGAUACCAGUUGGAAACGACUGCUAAUACCGCAUACGCCCUGAGGGGGAAAGGUGGGGAUCUUCGGACCUAUCGCGAUUGGAUGCACCCAGGUGGGAUUAGCUAGUUGGUGAGGUAACGGCUCACCAAGGCGACGAUCUCUAGCUGGUCUGAGAGGAUGACCAGCCACACUGGAACUGAGACACGGUCCAGACUCCUACGGGAGGCAGCAGUGGGGAAUAUUGCACAAUGGGGGAAACCCUGAUGCAGCCAUGCCGCGUGUGUGAAGAAGGCCUUCGGGUUGUAAAGCACUUUCAGCGAGGAGGAAAGGGUGGCAGCUAAUACCUGUCAUCUGUGACGUUACUCGCAGAAGAAGCACCGGCUAACUCCGUGCCAGCCGCCGCCGUAAGAC